UACGAAGGGGGCUAGCGUUGCUCGGAAUGACUGGGCGUAAAGCGUGCGCAGGCGGCGCGUUAAGACAGGUGUGAAAGCCCCGAGCUUAACUUGGGAAUUGCGCUUGUGACUGGCGUGCUGGAGUGUGGCAGAGGGAGGUGGAAUUCCACGUGUAGCAGUGAAAUGCGUAGAGAUGUGGAGAAACACCGAUGGCGAAGGCAGCCUCCUGGGCCAGCACUGACGCUCAUGCACGAAAGCGUGGGGAGCAAACAGG
rnacentral:rRNA from 1 species